AACGCGAAGAACCUUACCUGGGCUCGAACGGCUUCGGACAAUCUUUGGAAACAGAGACUUCCCGCAAGGGACUGGAGUCGAGGUGCUGCAUGGCUGUCGUCAGCUCGUGUCGUGAGAUGUUGGGUUAAGUCCCGCAACGAGCGCAACCCUUGUCCUGUGUUGGCAUGCCGCAAGGCGCAACUCUCAGGAGACCGCCAGCGAUAAGUUGGAGGAAGGUGGGGAUGACGUCAAGUCAUCAUGGCCUUUAUGUCCAGGGCCACACACGUGCUACAAUGGGCGGUACAAAGCGCUGCCAACCCGCGAGGGGGAGCUAAUCGCCAAAAACCGUCCUCAGUUCGGAUUGCAGGCUGCAACUCGCCUGCAUGAAGCUGGAAUCGCUAGUAAUGCUAUAUCAGAACGAUAGCGUGAAUACGUUCCCGGGCCUUGUA
rnacentral:rRNA from 1 species